rnacentral:lncRNA from 10 species
GGUUGGAAGUGGUGUCCCUGAGGCACCUGCUCGCCCUUUUCCUGCGCCUCCGCAACGUCGGCUGCGAAUGAGUCUCCUAAAGGACGCCCGGGAGGAUCGGAAACAGCCGAGUCCCGGCGCGGGCAGUGUCCUGCGCUCCUCCCCGGGGUCUGGCCGGGGUGGGCCCGAGGCCCCCGGGCCCCCGGUUACCGCCGCGGGCGCGUCUGCGUCCUGACCCGGAGGGACCCGCGGGCCGGGCCGUACCAGGUGGCGCUGGGGUUAGGGUUGCCGCCACGGAAGCCCAGCUCUGUGGACGCCUGCAGGGCGCCCUCACCGCCCGGGACGGGGGACCCAGCCCAGCCGCAGGGGAAGGACUGGGGCUCGCGGGGACGGAGGGCGGUUAGGAUUGCUGGAUACAACACGGAACGCCCAAUUAACGUUUUUGUUUAACGUGUUUUUUGUAGAGAUGGGGUCUCGCUAUGUUGCCCAGGCUGGUCUUGAACUCCUGGCCUCAAGCGAUCCUCCCGCCUCGGCCUCCAGAGUAGCUGGGACUAGAGGCCUGAGACAGCACGCCCGGCUCAGUUAAGAUUUUAAAACAGAUUUGUUGAAAUAUAAUGCACUUACUGUGAAAUUCACUUAUUGAAAGCUUAUGGCUUUGCCGUAUAUUCGGAGAUGGGCGGCCAUGCUCACUAUCUCAUGUGACACCGUUUCUGUUGCCCCAGAAAGAAACCCCGUGCCCAUGAGCGUUCACUCCCCACCCUGCCCACGGCCCAGCAAAUCUGCUUCAGCCCCUAUAGAUUUACCUCUACCGCGUUGGGCAUGUACUAAAAAUUGUUUAUCUGAAGUACAGAUUUAUCGGCAUCCCAUAUUUUUAUUUGCUAAUUCUGGCCAUCCUAAAGGUGGCAUCGCUCGCUCUGACCAAGGAAGCCUCAAGCAGGCAGGCACGAGAGUCCAUCCCUAGCCCUGCCUGGCCCCUCAGAGCCCAUCCCUGGCCCUGCCUGGCUCCUCAGAGCUGUCCCUGGCAGGCUCCGGGCUCAGGUGCGCUGCCAGGAGGGGGGCAGUGAGGGCUGUUUUAGGUAUAACAAUCCUGGAUAUUUCCUGAGUAUCUUGUCCGAAUGGUUCCUCUUUCUGUAUUUUCUAGCUUCCUCUGUAUAUUUAAAAAUGGUCUUAUUGGUGUGUUUCUUCACGACAUUUCAAUUUUUUGUUAUCAUUUCCCACAAUUUCAGUGAUGCAAGAUGGUCCUUUCUGAGCAGAGCUCCCCUCGCUCAGUGCUCCUUUGUUUCACGUAGAAGAUCUUCUUGAGGGGACUGUGUGGCCAGUGCAGCCCAGGCCUCCCCACCCUGCACCGUUCAACAGAAGAGCAGCUGACGCAGGGGGCCCUCAACAUGCUCACCCAAAAGUCAGCGAGAUUCUGCACCGGCCCACUAGCCUUCCAAUUGUAAACUAAAAAUAAAAUCUUGGCCAGGCACGGUGGCUCAUGCCUGUAAUCCCCGCACUUUGGGAGGCAGAGGCAGGUGGAUCACCCUGAGGUCAGGGGUUCGAGACCAGCCUGGCCAACAUGGCAAAACCCCGUCUCUACUAAAAAUACAUAAAAAUUAGCCAGGCGUGGUGGCACACACCUGUAAUUCCAGCUACUCGGGAGGCUGAGGCAGGAAAAUCGCUUGAACCUGGGAGGCAGAGGUUGCAGUGACCUGAGAUCGUGCCACUGCACUCCAGCCUGGGUGACAAUGAGACUCCAUCUCAAAAAAAAAAAAGAAAAAAAAAUCCUAAGCCCCCCAACUACUGAAAAGACCCCUCUUGGCCAAGGGGUCCCAGAGACACCUUAAAAACUGAGUUUCCAGCCAGACGUGGUGGCUCACACCUGUAAUCCCAGCAUUUUGGGAGGCCAAGGCGGGUGGAUCACCUGAGGUCAGGAGUUCGAGACCAGCCUGGCCAACAUGGCAAAACCCCGUCUCUACUAAAAAUACAAAAAAAUUAGCCAGGUGUGGUGGUGGAUGCUUGUAAUUUCAGCGACUCUGGAGGCUGAGGCAGGAAAAUUGCUUGAAUCUGUUUCAGUGAGCCAAGAUCGUACCACUGCACUCCAGCCUGGGCAACAGAGUGAGACUCCAUCUCAAAAAAAAAAGCCAAAAAACUGAGUUUCCAGCCGUGACGGGAUGGUAGGUCAGAGGCACCUCAUUCUACCCCCUCCCUUGUGUGGUUUAGACAGAAUUGACCGGUGUUCAUGUUAAAAUAGAGAUCAUAAGACUAAGAACAGGCUCUGUGGCAAUAAAAUACCAAAUUAUAAACAGGACCUCAGGCCAGGCCUGGUGAAAGUAAGUCGUGCAUCCCUGCACGUGAAGAAUCAACUCUGUUCUAAAGGCCGCAGGUUUCUCUUUUUCUGUAGCAGCUAAACAAGCACUAGCCUCAAGAUAAGCAGCAUUGAAACAACCGCAGCUCCUCCCCCUGCCGACCCUGGCCCCACACCCCUGCUCCACCAGCCGUAACUAGAGCUUUCCUUGGACAAGAGACUCGUUUCAGUAACUUUUCCCUGAUAAGAGACCCUGACCAUAGACGGGUUCUGGCUGGUUUACAGAGAUUGCACCCUCAUGUGCCUUCAUGUCCUGAAAGUACUUUUUGAGGUAUACCACCUAAUUGUAAUACGCUUACAUGCUGCCUUCACCCCAAGGUGAACAUGGGUCAUAUGUAACAUGCAUGUUUAUCCAGCACACGUGUCCGAAUAAACAUGCAUGUAUAUUCGCAACGCCUCCUGUAACUUGUUGAGUAUGUAUACCUGACCAACCCAUUCGGCUUACAUUCCUGUCUCACCGCACCCUCCCUCCAAGUACCUGUCUCUGGCCUUAGGCUGGAGGCCACACUUCCUAGCCUGUCAGAAUGGCCACCUUACAGGCUAUAAGACUUUAUAAGAAGUAAAGUCUCCUUUCUGAGUGUAUAGAUCUUGUGAUUUUUAACUUAACACAAUCCACAGCCGGUUUCCUUCUUUUUUAUUUUUAUUUAUUUUUUUUGAGAUGGAGUCUUGCUGUGUCCCCAAGGCUGGAGUGUAGUGGCGCGAUCUCUGCUCACCACAACCUUUGUCUCCCGGGUUCAAGCGAUUCUCCUGCGUCAGCUUCCUGAGCAGCUGGGAUUACAGCCAGUUAAUUUUUGUAUUUUUAGUAGAGAUGGGGUUUCACCACGUUGGCCAGGCUGGUCUCGAACUCCUGACCUCAGGUGAUCCAUCUGCCUUGGCCUCCCAGAGUGCUGGAAUUACGGGCAUGAGCCACCGCACCUGGCCCUUCUUUCUUUCUUUGGCUGGGCCUCCCGAAGAGGGUCCCAGGUGUAGAAUAUGGUCAGAACAGGCAAGGCUCCUCUGAUUUCAUCUGUUUCUUUGUUAUUCAGCCAUCCUUGCUGUCAUUCCUCUGACUCGUAGCCAGCCCUUCCACUGCGUUUUGUGUACAUGUGUUUUUUCCAUCUUGAGAUGGUAGAUUUAAAUGGCCAUUGUUGUUACCACUAUUAGCAAGCUAGGAACGACGGGGGAGAGCCUAACCUGCUAUGGGAGCAAUCAGGAACCUACAGCAACUUUUUCCUUUUUAUUUUUAGAUAAAUGUUUUAUUUUAGAAUAGAUCUGGGUUUCCAGAUAAGAUGUGAAGAUAGAUAGGAGGGCACUGUUGUUAACAUCUGACAUUAGUUUGGUGUUUGUUAUGUAAUUAAUGAGCCAAUACUGACACAUUGUAAUUGACUAAGGUGUGCACUUGAUUCCUAUUGCCUCAGUUUCACCUGCUGUCCUUUUCCUGUCCCAGGAGCCCAUCCUGGACACUCAGUCCUCGGGUCUCAGGCUCCUCUCAGCUUCUCUCAUGUUUGAUGACCUUGGCAGUUUUGAGGAGCGCUGGCCAGGUGUGUCGGAGGGUGUCCCUCUGUGGGGAUUGGUCUGAUAUCUUUCUCCUGGUUAGACAGGGGAUAUGGGUUUUGGGAGGAAGACCGCAGGGUUGAAGUCCCGUCCUCAUCGCAGCCUACCAAGGGUGUAUGGUCUCCACCUGCCGGGUCACAGGUGGGGCUGGCCUGGGUUACCUGGCCAAUGCGGAGCCUGUCAGGUUUCUCCACCACGAAGUCCCCCUUUCCACAUGGUGCCCUUGGUGGGGAAGUCAGUAUUUGCAGCACCCAAGGAAGGUGUGGGGGUUAGGCUCCCCUCCUUAGGGGCAGAGUGUCUACACAAACUACUUGGAAUUCCUUUGUGAUUCAUCUCUCCUCCCCACUUAUUUAUUUACUCAGUCAUUUCCUUAUAUCGGUACGGACUUGUGGAGAUUUAUGCUGCAAGUUAUGAGCCAACACGGUGCUGGUUUUGUUUUUCGAUCACUUCUUCACCUUCUAACUAUAUUACCAGGGCUGCCACAGCUAAAUGCCACAGCCUGGGCAGCUUAAACAACAGGUGUUUCUCUUCUCACAGUUAUGGAGUCUGGACGUCUGAGAUCAGGCUGCCGGCAGGGUGGGUUCCUCCUGAGGCCUCUCUGUGGCUUACAGACAGCAUCCCUGCGUCCUCGUGUGACCUCUCCCUGCAUUCUCCUAUAGCCUGUCUGCAUGCUCACGUGGCCUCUCCCUGCGUCCUCACAUGACCUUUCCCUGUGUCCUCAUGUGGCCUCUCCCUGCGUGCUCACGUGGCCUCUCCUCUGUGUGCUCACGUGGCCUCUCCCUGCAUGCUCACUCCUGGUGUUUCUUCCUGUUCUCAUAAGGACAACAGUCUUGGCUGGGUGUGGUGGCUCAUGCUCGUAAUCCCAGCGCUUUGGAAGGCCAAAGCGGGAGGAUCACUUGAGUCCAGGAGUUCAAGACCAGCCUGGGCAAUAUAGUGAGACCCUGCCUCUACUGAAUAAAAAAAAGACACCAAUCUAAUCAGAUCAGGGCCCCUGACCCUCAUGACCUCAUUGAACCUUAAUCAUUUCCUCAAAGGCUCCAUCUCCAAAUGCAGUCACAUCGGGGGCUAGGGCUUCCACCUGUGAUUUGGGGGCAAAGAAAUUCAGCCCAUAACACUAGCACUGCAAGGCACUCCAGGAUCAUCUUAUGUAUUUGCUGUUCCAGUCCUCAAAUCAGCCACUUAGCCAAGGACCUGUGGUUCUUUUAACUGGAGAAGGGUCUUAGAGACCAAGAUCUGAAGGCUAAGUGUGCUCAUUGCUUCUCAGCUGACAGAACAAAGAGAUAGAUGUGUGUAUACGAAGCUGUGUGUAUACACAUCUGUUUGUACACAUAUCCAGAAGUAGCUACAUUAAGCAUGAAAUUAUACCAAUGUCUCUAAUUCUGUUACCACAUGGAUCAUUCUAGCCUUUCCAUUUGUUUAUCUGGAAGCUCCCAUUCCCAUAGUGAGAAACCUGACCCCUACCACCUGCCACCACGUACUCAGUUUUUCACUUCCAGAGUAGAUGUAUAGUGGUUUCAGAAUUAUUAGCUGGUAUCCCCGUGGGAAAUGCCUUUAUCACCUAGAGGAAGUGUUGACAUCCUCUGUCUUUAGUCCUACAGACUCCACGCGUGUCCAAAGUUACUUAGGUCAGCACCCUGCCGUGAGGCUCUCUGCAACCUGGGUGAGGCAGGUACCACCCAGGCAUCAGGCCUAACUCCUCCCCUGGCUCUGGAGGAAAGGACACCAUCCUGCUGGGAGCGGCUGUCCAAGUCACAAAUGAGGGCAGUGGCAAGGACACAUCAUUCCUCCUGCAUGGAGCGCUGGCUUCUCAGCCAUUGCAGACAGUGCACCCAUGCAUCUGUAAUGCAGUUAGAGUCUCUUGUCACAGUCUGAAUUCCAUGCUGGGAUCCUCCAUCUCCCAAGUGAUUAAAUUUGCAUACCUUAAGGCCAACUCUCUCUCCUGUACAGUCUAUGGAUUUUGACACGUGUAGUUUUGUGUAUUCCGCAUUAUAGUAGAAUACUACCACAUUAUAGUAGAAUACUACACUAUCACGUAGAAUCAUUUCACUGUCCUAAAAUCCUCUGUGUUCCACCUGUUCACCCCUCCCUCUCUCCUCUUUUUUUUUUUUUUUUUUUUUUGAGACAAGGUCCCACUCUGUCACAGAGGCUGGAGUGCAGUGGUGUGAUCUCGGCUCAUGGCAACCUCUGCCUCCUGGGUCCAAGCAAUUCUCUUCCCUCAGCCUCCCGAGUGGCUGGGAUUACAGGUGCCCAGCACCACGCCC